rnacentral:lncRNA from 1 species
GUGCAACGACCGAGUUCAAGGUCCAAGUUCGAGCCCCGAGUUUGAGCGCCAGUACCAAAACAAACAAACAAAAAGAUCGACUAAUUCAGCAAGACAAUCUGUGAGAGUGGUUAUACAGCUAUGAGGCCGAUUUCCGCCCGUGAUUGUGAGAGCAAAGGGGCUUGAUUGCUGGCCAGGCACAUCAGUUCCCCAGCAGAAGCCUGCUGCCAACAUGUUGCCAUGCAGAGAAAGACUUAUUUAUCCUCGCUUUAUGUUUCUUAUCUGAGCCAGUUCCCUAUUUGUCACCAUUCUCCCCAUUCCCAUGGUGACUCAACUUCUUCAACAGGCUUUGGUGUGGAGCUUUCCAAGGAUUCUUAAAAGUCACCUUUGGCACCACAACCACGGAGAGAUCCUACCUGCUGCCACACUGGCAGCACACACUGCUCCUGAUCAUUCAUGAGGAGAUCCUUGGAGACUGGACCCUGGCCUUGUAGUAAGGUGGAGUUGGCACCCCAAGACUGACCAUCAUUCUGAGCCCCUGGUAUACUGUC